AAAGACAGCGUAAUAGCUCACUGGUCGAGUCGGCCUGCGCGGAAGAUGUAACGGGGCUAAACCAUGCACCGAAGCUGCGGCAGCGACGCUUAUGCGUUGUUGGGUAGGGGAGCGUUCUGUAAGCCUGUGAAGGUGUACUGUGAGGUAUGCUGGAGGUAUCAGAAGUGCGAAUGCUGACAUAAGUAACGAUAAAGCGGGUGAAAAGCCCGCUCGCCGGAAGAC
rnacentral:rRNA from 1 species